rnacentral:lncRNA from 1 species
UGUUUUUAAACUUAUGGCGUAAUAUUUCUUCUGACACUCCCCACACUCAACUCCCUGCCAGAUACCCAGAGCAAGAAAAUACUAAGAGUGAAUUUUCUAAAUUAGGAAUAGAGAAAUGACCCAUUUACAGAAAAUCAAAUGCAGUCUCUCGCACGUUCUGCAAGUACCUGAAGAAAAUAUAGAGACGACUCAUUUUAGAAUCUGCCACAGAAAGGGCCAACCCUUGAUCUGUAGAAUCCUUUUCACUAAGGAAACCUUUCGUUGUAGGAUGGAAUGUUGGAAUAGAAGACACCAGGGCCCGGAUCCUGUCUUCACUUUGGCUUAAUGGGGCUGGGCUGGGCUACCACUCAGAACUCUGUGACCUGGACGGAUGGAAAUACCAUGUUGGGGAUUUGAGGUUGCUGGCCCUGAAGUAUGUGGCAGAGGGUUUAUGAAGGGCUGAUCUCUCCAAAAGUGCUUCACUCUCCAGCUGGAGACAGACGUGCCUACAGGAGCUUGAAGUCCUGUGUUCUACUUCCAGUGAAGGCUGCUUUUACCCUGGACGAGGAAUCCAUACUGCUUUACUUUCUGCCCCUCUUUGGCUUUCUUCCGGAUGAAGAAAUAUGCCCUACACCUGCUGGCUCUGUGGCUGCCCCAGGUGAUAUUUUUGCACAGCAUGAUGGGAGAUAGACGGUGGAUGAAAGCUCCAACUGGCUUCUCAAAGAAGGGAAAAGAAAACAAGAGGAAAAGAAUGGAAAGGGUGGAGGGAACGUGAUAAAAUUGCCCCUCCUGUUUCACCUGGAAAAAGAAGGUAUACAUGAAAAGUCAUUCAAGCCAAUGGUCAGAAGGUCAUGACGUUGUCUGGUCUCUUCCAACUGAAAAGUGGGACUCAGAACACCACACUCACUUUGCUAGAACUGUUCCCUCUUGGCAGGUUUCCUUUUAGUCUGGCUUUAGGGAGAGUACCUUUAGUCUUUAAUCUUUUAUUAUUUGUUAAGACUCCAAUUUAGACAUUGGCAAAUGGAUGGUCCAAAACAUAUAUUAGUGUUUUCAAUGUAAGAGCUGGCCUAUCUUGUUAUCC